ensembl:snRNA U6 U6 spliceosomal RNA
GUGGCUCUCUUUGGUGGCACAUAUACUACAAUUGGAAUGAUACAGAGAAGAUUAUCAUGGCCCCUGCACAAGGAUGGCAUGCAAAUUUGUGAAGCAUACCAUAUAAGA